GACGAACGCUGGCGGCGUGCUUAACACAUGCAAGUCGAACGGAAAGGCCCUGCUUUUGUGGGUUGCUCGAGUGGCGAACGGGUGAGUAACACGUGAGUAACCUGCCCUUGACUUUGGGAUAACUUCAGGAAACUGGGGCUAAUACCGGAUAGGAGCUCCUGCUGCAUGGUGGGGUUGGAAAGUUUCGGCGGUUGGGGAUGGACUCGCGGCUUAUCAGCUUGUUGGUGGGGUAGUGGCUUACCAAGGCUUUGACGGGUAGCCGGCCUGAGUGGGUGACCGGCCACAUUGGGACUGAGAUACGGCUCAGACUCCUACGGGAGGCAGCAGUGGGGAAUAUUGCACAAUGGGCGGAAGCCUGAUGCAGCAACGCCGCGGGCGGGAUGACGGCCUUCGGGUUGUAAACCGCUUUCGCCUGUGACGAAGCGUGAGUGACGGUAAUGGGUAAAGAAGCACCGGCUAAAUACGUG
rnacentral:rRNA from 1 species